UAUUUUUAAAGGGCCGCGGUAUACUGACCGUGCGAAGGUAGCAUAAUCAUUAGUCUUUUAAUUGAAGGCUCGUAUGAAUGGUUGGACAAAAAGUAAUCUGUCUCAGUUAUAAUAGUUGAACUUAACUUUUAAGUGAAAAGGCUUAAAUACUUUAAGGGGACGAUAAGACCCUAUAAAACUUAACAAUAAUCUGAUUAAAUUAUAAAUUGUUAGUAUAACUUGAUUUUAAUUAAUGUUUGUUGCGUUGGGGCGACGGGAAUAUAAUUAGUAACUGUUCUUAAAUAUUUUAUUAACAAGUAUAAUUGAAGAAUAAUUGAUCCUUUAUUAAAGAUUAAAAGAUUAAGUUACUUUAGGGAUAACAGCGUAAUCUUCUUUGAGAGUCCUCAUCGACAAGAAGGUUUGCGACCUCGAUGUUGAAUUAAGGUAUCCUUAUAAUGCAG
rnacentral:rRNA from 1 species